rnacentral:rRNA from 1 species
CGAUCGAAGUCAGGCGUGCUGGGGCGAAAUCAGCUCGAUCACUCGGGGAUCACGGGCCGUAGCGAGCCUCAAAACCGCUACGACUCGUGAUUUCUUAGUGGCCUGGUGCACUUUCGUGUCGGCUGGUUAACAUCAAUUUCGAUCGUCAUAAAAAGGCUGGAGGGAUGUGGCUCCUUCGGGAGUGUUAUAACCUUUAGCGGAAUGUGGUGGUCGGGAUUGAGGCUUGCAACGAAUACCUUCAGGGCUGUUCCACCUGGACUCUCUU